rnacentral:pre_miRNA from 1 species
GGAGCCAUAGGAAGGGAUCCCAACCCAGCCUUAGGAAACGAAACCUGCCACUGGAGUCUUGGAGUUUGGCGACCACCCUAAAGACUUA